AAACCUCUGCGGUGCUCGAUACCAGAUUGUUUGUUGUGGACCCUACAAGCAACCCGUAGGGAGCCAGGUGCCUCCCCGGCCGCGUGUAUAUCCGGGUCGUCGCAAUGCGACGUCUGCCGGCUCACACAACCCGGGGCCUUGGAUCCCACCUUUUGAAUACGGGUCUGCAUAACCACAGUCUGAACGGCACAGGGCGGAGGUUUU
rnacentral:other from 1 species